rnacentral:rRNA from 1 species
CAGAGGGUGCAAACGUUGUUCGGAAUUACUGGGCGUAAAGCGCGUGUAGGCGGCUACGUGUGUCGGGCGUGAAAUCCCAUGGCUCAACCAUGGAAGUGCACCCGAAACUGCGUAGCUAGAGUCCUGGAGAGGAAGGUGGAAUGCUUGGUGUAGAGGUGAAAUUCGUAGAUAUCAAGCGGAACACCGGUGGCGAAGGCGGCCUUCUGGACAGUGACUGACGCUGAGACGCGAAAGCGUGGGGAGCAAACAGGAUUAGAUACCCUGGUAGUCCACGCCGUAAACGAUGAGUGCUAGGUGUCACGGGCUUUGACCCUCGUGGUGCCGAAGCUAACGCGUUAAGCACUCCGCCUGGGGAGUACGGCCGCAAGGCUA